ensembl:lncRNA
GAAACCAGGUGAACAUGAGAUCUCUCUGUUUUAUUUCUUACAACUCCAUCUCAGAAUAACAAGUUUAUGGCUGGCUUAGUCCUACACCAUCCUGGGAGGCAGGUGAGACCAGAAGUGGGACUGGUGUCCACACACAUAGCCCCAGGCCCACAGUGUGUCCGCGGCCCCUUUCUGGCAGGGCCUCAUUGCCCAGGGCUCUGACAUCCUUCAGGCACCCUCUGUCUGUCCCACAUCCGCAGCAGCUAUGUGCCUCUCUUUCCUCUCAGUCCCAAAAAGCAUCAGUUAUUGAACACAUUGUCUAUGCCAGAUGGCCAUGUGGCUGCAGAUGAGCAGCCACCAGUGUCUUGCUUGCUGCCCAGGAGCCUCUCCAGUGACUGGAUGGAGAAGACCCAGUCUGGGGGUCAGGUAGAUGGUCUGUGCCCAACACAACCCCGCCCCCCAAUUGCACCCUGCCAGGCUUGGCAGGAGGCCUGGCACUGGGGCUGGCAUCAACUGGGCCCAGAAGGUGGUCAUGGAGGCCUCGCUUACGCUUGUUUCCCAUAAUUCUGGCUGCUUCCAGUCCCUUUCCUCUCCAGACACUGACGCAGAGCCUACCAACACGCUGAGGCCCCCUUUCUCAGCUUCCUGCUCGGCCACCAUAUCUUCUCAUUACCUGUUUACCCAUCUCCCCUUUGGAAUUGCCUUGAGUUCCACGGGUGUGACAUCAACAGGCCUGGAAUGCCAUCCCCAGUCGCCACGCGAUCACCAAGACCACCACUGUCGUGCUUCUCCAUCCUUGCCCCCCCACCCCUUGUCACAGCUGUCUCCUCCCUGGGGUUCCAGGAGGCCCGGGCUGCUUCCUUCCCUUGAAAAUCCAUGUUGUCACAAUUGGGACUGUCGCUCUUUUUGAUGCUCAAAAUAACCUCGAAGACCAGUUGCAGCCAAACAGUCCCCCUGGGCACAGAUGGGGAGACUGAGCCAGGCCUGCUCCUGACCUCCUGACCUCGGGACAGCUGGGCCUGGGGACAGUGGCCCGGGACAGGGCACUGGAGGGUGCAAAGGCGUUCUGGUUGUACUCCUGGUUACACUGGUGUCUCUCAUCGGAAUCGUGGACCCGGGCCUGGGGAGGAGGUCUGGCAGAGCCCUCAAGGCCACUGCGGCAGCAAGGCCCAAAGGCUUCUCUGCUUUUCUGGGCCCCAACUUGGCCAUCGUCUGCCUGGGGUCCCUCCGCCCUUCUCUAGGCGGUCCCUUGGGCCUCUGUGCCCAGCCCCUUUCUCCUGGCCUGUGGUCAGCAUCUCAUGGGGACCUGUGGCAUGUUGACCCCCCAGUGUGAACCCUGGGAGAGGAGGGUGGCGACCACCGCUUUCUCCUGCAUGUGCUGCUGUGUGUUGCAGCCGGACAGGGCUGGUGGCCGCCAUGCAGGCCAGAAGCACCAGUCCUGCCUACUCUGUGCCCUCUGCCUGCAGCCGGCAACUGCCUGGGAAGUCCUGGAGGGAGGACAGGGCUAGCACACCGGCAGUGCAUCUUGCCCCGGGGGCCAUGCACGGCUGCUCACGAGGCUAGAGCGUGGGGCAGCACACGCCCCAGAAGACAGCGGCACCUGGGGGUGGUUGCGAAGAGUCGUGGCUGCAAAAAUGAGUCUGUUUGCAGGCAUCAUGGCGUAUGGUGGUGGGUCUGUCUACCACCAACUGGGAGCCCCUCCCCUCCUGAGGGCUUGGUGCGGUUCUGGCCUGUGGUGAGUGUGCAGGGAACACCUGAUGGGGACUGAGGCCAAACAGGAGCAGAGAGGAGCAGGGCAGAGCCGGGCCCUCACCCUGGAGGCGGGAGCAGGAGGCCUCGCCCAGGCAUUGGGGAUGGCAGCCCCUCACCUCCUAAGCAUCCACCGUGAUCCUGGCCCCAGACCUCUGCCCUGUGCCGGGCAGGCAGAGCUCUGCAGAUGGCUCUUCUCUGCAGGCAGAGGAACCCCCGACGACCUGCAGCCAGAAAGAGGGGUGGGAAGGAGAUGAUGAAGGGGAGUGAACUGAGACCCUGAGUCCUUGCCCUCACCCAAGUAUGACCAGUCACCAGAGACCAGGAAACCAGAUGACGGAUGUCUGCUCUGAGGGCUCUGGUCGCCGCCUUCUCACCUGGGCAUGACAGCCAGUGCACCUGUGCCACCAACCCACUCUGCCCUCCCCGGCUGGUGCCCGGGCCCCAAGGCCAGCCUGCACCAGGCAGGGUGCCACCAGCAGGGCAGGUACCAGGGCCACGGAGGGCCUUGGCCUGCGCAGCUGGGCAGUGGGCACCAGAGCCCUCGCUGCGUCCUGUUGAUUCUGGGAGGGUUUUCCGAUCUGUCUGGCCUGAUGCUCGCAUGGCCAGCCGGGGAGCUGGGAUGCAGUGGAGAGCUGGAGCCAGCCUUUGCAACCCCAAGCCCCGGCCCUCGCUGGCAGAGAGGUGGGCCGUGGGGGAGGGGCAGGAGCUUCCCUCCGCUGUCUGGCGGGCCGCCUCCAGAUCUAGGUCAUCGUGCUUCAGCCUCACUCUCUGCCUUCCGCAAGCUGUGUUCCGUGGGAUUUUUUAAAUACCUGAAUGCCUCUGGGAGAAACUCAGUGUUGGUGCCAUUUCGUAUCUGCACCUUCGGCUUUUCGUGACAUUACAGAGCUACAGCGAGGACAGAGAGUCUCAGAGAUGCCAGGACACCUUGAGGAGGUCGCCUCCAGCCCCCUGGUAGCCCCUGAGCGCAUCCCUUUGGAGGGCCCCCAGGGUCACACGGUCAGGCAGCUCUUCCCCACUGAGUCACACUGUGCUCAGGGUCCCUGUCACCCCGACCCCUGCCCUGGGCUGCGUUCUCUCCCAGGGCCCUUCAGUGGUCUGUCUCUCAUUGGCUGCAGCUGGAGGCCCACAGUCCCCUGACCACUGACCCUCGAGGGGGCAGGGGCGCCCGCCUCCCCUCUGGGUCCCCGGGUCCCAAGGCUGGCUCACCGCCGCAGAGCACAGGCGCCCUUUGUGGCCUGCUCCAGCUGCCCAGUGAGUGGCGGAUGCAGUGUGGACCAAGGCUCUGCCCCACUUGGAAGCCUCUCUGUCCCUGGAGCACACAGUCGCUUUAACGGGGCGAGCGUGCCCUCCUGGCAGGGCAGCUGCUGUGGACUCCAAGCUCUUUUAAUUGGCCUGUGUCCAUCGGUGACGAGGACGGGUGUGUGUCAUCACGCUCUUACAUUUUUCUAACAAGGAGAUCAAGAGAAACAUUCUCCAAUGGCCCUCACUGCACACACAAGCCCCCCUCCAGAGCUCCUGGGGCCCACGCACCCGACUCGGCCACCUGCCCGAGGCUCCGAGGCCUGGGGUCAGCAGGGAUGGGAAGGGUAGUCCAGGCAGAGGAAGGCACGAAGCCAGGGGGCACCCACAAGUGCAGGGCAGGAGGUGUGAGUGGGGCGGCAGCCCUCCUGACUCAGUGGUCUCAGGUCUUCUCACCUGUAUGGCUGAGCCAGUGCAGCAGGCCCAGCAAGGACAGUACGUGGGAGCGGUGCCCACAAUCAGACAAAGGCAGGGCCCAGGAGGGCAUCAGAGCCCAAUGGGGCAGCCUGACCAACCAGGGCAUGUCCCUGGCCUGCCUGGGAGCUGGUCACACCCUUUGGGGGAGCGAGGUCUGGGCCCAGAGGUUGGGGUUCGCUGUUUGGUCUCACCACACUCUGAACCUCCGCUUCCUGGUCUGAGCAGGGGCCCAACUACACCCAUUCCAGCCUGUGUUGGUGCCUCCGGGAAGGGCGGGGUAGGUAAGGGCUGCAAGCGCCCGAGCCUGCUCUACCUGACAUCUGUGUGUCACCUGGAGCAAACUGCUCCAUCUCUGAAACUGGCACCCGUGUCACCUGCCACCUCCGUCAUGCCUGUCACUGUGGUUUACACAGAGCCCAUCUCCCCACAAGUUGCUUCCUUUUCCGGCCCCAGGUGACCACACGGACGCCCACGAGUCUGUGCUGGAGGGGAGGGAGACAGCACAGGCUACACGCAGCCUCUGGAGAAUUUCUUCACUAAAGGAGGUUUUUUCCUGAAAAACGUCAAGCUAUUUGUAGCCCAAGUCAGUUGAGCAGAUUUUUCUGGGUGUAGCUUAUUUUAUCACUCAUUAACUUCUUUUCUUUAUGAAUUAAAAAGUAGCAUUUUUUUUCCCACCCAGGAGCAUUUUAUUUACUUCUCUCAGUGCCACAACCAGCACUUUCUCUGCCUGCUGGGGAGGGAGACUCAGAUCCUGCUCGAGGACGCCAUGGCCCCUAGGAUGUAGGCAUAGGUGGUGCGUCCAGAGCAGGCCCUACCACUCCACCCGUUCCUGACCUUGCACGUCCCUGUCACCCCUGCAGAGCUGCCCUGUUUGAUGGACAGGAGCCGUGCAAGGGUUAGCAGCAUCCCGGCUGAAGAAAGCGAGAGAGGCCCUAUGCUGUUCCACCUGGGAAAUCUGGGGGCACAUCCUACGAUUCUGCUGGCCAACACCCUGGUGGCCCAAUUUCCUGACUUCAGAAAUGUCCCAGGCAGAUACUUUGCCUAUAGAGCAACGGGUGCUGCUACCCCUCCGGUCUCUCAGCCAGAGGGGGACAGCCCCAGGGUGUCUGUGGUGGGAUUCGGGCUGUCCCCCGGACUCACAGAAGUGGGAGGCCAAAGCCCCAGGGGAGUGGCUCCCAGUCCUCUUUCCACCAGCUCCACACCAACCCUCCAGACCUAAAAUGCUGGGCUCUAAUCCUGCUGCGUCUCCGUAUGUCGUCUUUUGGAGCGCACUUACCUCAGUGGAAAAGAUCCUGUUCAUGCGGUGCACCUCGUCCUUUUGUCUCCCAUCUGCAGAAUCACUUUUAAACCCCAGAUUCUUGUACCCGCGCAUGUCCCUGCCUCUUCCCCAGCUAUGCCUUUGAUUGCAGUUCACUCCCCCAUCGCCCCACCCCACCCCCGCCCCCACCCGGGUGCCUGGAGCCCCACCC